AGUUUAAAAGCUCUCAAGAACUUAAUUUCCUAAAGAGAGUUUAGGAGUUGAUGAAAAUGAAAAUAUGAUUGAUUUUUCUCAAUUUUCUGGUGGAGGGAGUGAUAGUGGACAAUCCCAAAAAGAGCCAUAUAUUGGAACGUCUAAGUUUUAUUAGUUGUUAGAGGAAUAUAACCAAGAAUUAUAUCUGGGAUUUAAAAAACAAUCUAGAUUAUCUGUCAUCUUAGAAUUGUUUCAGAUAAAGGUUUUUGGUGGGAUGAGUUAUGAGUCAUUCAAUUUUCUCCUCUCACUAAUGAAAAGGAUUCUUCUCAAGGGUGAAACCUUGCCUAAUUACUAUCAUGAAAGUAAGAAUAUGAUUAAGAAAUUAGGUCUUGGGUAUGAAAAGAUUCAUGCUUGUCCAAAUGAUUGUAUGUUAUAUCUAGAUGAAAGAGCAAAUGAAGACUUGUUUUAUGUGUGUGGUGCUUUUAGGUAGGUGCAAAGUGAUAAUGUUGGCUUGAAGGGCAAUUUUUGUGGUAAAAAGAAAAAACCUAUGAAGGUGUUACAUCAUUUUCUCUUGAAACCUAAACUCCAAAAAUUGUUCAUGUCCUCAAAAAUGGCUUAUGCCAUGGUAUGGCAUGAUAAGGGUUGUAAAAAAGAUAGAAAAGCUAGGCAUCUAGCUAACUCUUUUGCUUGGAAAUCUUUUGAUUUGCUAUAUCUUGGAUUUGCCUCAGACCCUCGUAUUGUGAGGCUAGGCUUGGCUGCUGAUGGAUUUAAUCCAUUUAGGGUAAUGAAUAAUAAAUAUAGUGUUUGGCCUCUUAUGGUGAUCCUUAUAAUUUGCCUUCUUGAUUGUCCAUGAAAAAGUCAAGUUUUAUUCUUUCCUUAGUGAUUCUAGGUGAGAGUGGGCGUGGAAAUGAUAUUGAUGUUUACUUACAACCUCUAGUAAAAGAAUUAAAAGAAUUGUGGGAAGUUGGUGUAAACAUCUUUGAUGCUUUUGCUGGAGGUAAUUUUUAGUUACAUAUUGCUUUAAUGUGGAUGAUAAACGACUUUCCUACAUAUGGUGAUUUGUCUGGUUGGAAUGUUAAAAAUAGAUUUGCUUGUCCUCAUUGAUUUGAGGAUACAUGCCAUUUAUGGCUAGAUCAUGGGGGCAAAUGUUGUUUCAUGAGUCAUCGUCAGUUUGUAUAUAUUAAUCAUAAAUUUCGAAUUGAUUCCUAUUUUGAUGGCACUGAAGAACUAAGGCCUGCUCCAAUUUCACCUUCAGGAACUAUGAUUUUAAGUCAAGUAGAAAAAAUGCAUGUUACUUUUGGAAAGAAAAUCUAGUUUAUUCUGAUUCUUGGAAAAAGAAGAGCAUUCUUGUUAGUUUGCGGUAUUGAGAGCACAAUUUGUUGCAUCAUAAUCUAAAUGUGAUGCAUGUAGAAAACAAUGUAUGAUAAUGUUUUUGGGACUUUAUUAAAUAUCGAAGGGAAGACUAAGGAUAAUUUAAAGGCACGUCUAGACUUGCAAGCAUUGGGUAUACGAAAAGAACUACAUCCAAAGGAAUAUGGAGAUGGUAGACUUCAUAUACCUCCUGCGUGCUAUUGGAUGUCAACAAAGGAGAAGAAUGUAUUUUUAAGGAGUUUUAGAAAGUAUCAAAGUUCUUGACGAUUACUCUUCAAAUAUCUCCCAACAUGUCAGUCUCAAUAUCGUAAAGUUCUACCUUUGAAAAGUCACGAUGACCACAUAUUGAUGGAGGAGUUUCUUGGACUUGCAUUACAUGGGCUUUUGUCUAGGGAUGUGACCACGGUUGUGGUUGAAUUGGGUCAAUUUUGAAGUCACUAUGUGCUAAAGUUCUCCAAGUGAAAGAGCUUGAGCAACUUCAGUCUAAGAUUAUUCUCACUCUUUGUCGAUUGGAGAAGAUUUUUCCUCCUUUAUUCUUUACCAUUAUGGUACAUUUGGUGGUUCAUUUGGCUAAAGAGGCAAAAAUUGUAGGAACUAUAUACUAUAGAUGGAUGUAACCAGUUGAAAGGUAUAAUUUAAUAGUUAAAGUUUUUUUUCAUAUUCAAUUUGGUCUUUUCUUUAUUUGUGGUCCUUUUAUUAUAGGUUUCUUUGUAAAUUGAAGUCUUAUAAGACUAAUAAAGCUCACCUAGAAGGUUCGAUUGUAGAGACUUACUUGGCUAAAGAGCGUAUUGUCUUUUGUUCAAGAUACUUAUAAGAGUUUGAAACCUGAUUCCAUCCCCUAGUUAGAAAUUAUAAUAUCCCAAAUGAACCAUAACAAAACUCAAGCUUAUUUCCAUGUUUAAGUAGACCAUUAGGAAAGGCAAUAGGAUUUGAGUUAGAUGAAAAAUGUGGUUACAAGCUCCUCGUUAUGUGUUAUUUCAAUGAAAACAAUUCAGGAAUUUCACCUAUAAGUUUUCUAGAAAAGUCUUUUCUUUCUCUUGUAAAGUAUUUUAAUUAAACUGUAGUUAACUUGAUUAGGUUCUUUAUAGAGCAUUUGAGAAAAGUGUAAAAAGGCAACAAAGGCAUAGUUGAGCUCGUCCAAUUUAAAUAAAUGAUAUGAUGAAUUCUACAUUUCAUUAAUGGUUUCAUGAUCGGGUUAGUAAUUUUCUAAUUUAUCAUUUUUUUUUUCUUUUUUUUCUAAUCUAGGUUCAAAAUAACAAGUUUUAUACAUUUCAAUGUUAAAUUAGGUUGCAAAAAUGGAUCCUUUGGGAACUACAAAAGACAUUAGGUAUCUUUCUCAAGGUCCUAAUAGGGUGGCAACAAGAUGUACAGAUUAUAUUAUUAAUGGGAUUUGGUUUCAUACCAAAACUCGUGAGAGGGAUAGAAAAACUCAAAACAGUGGAGUAGUUGUGAUUACAAAAACCACUCAUUAUCCAAAUGUUUGAAGUGGAGAUCCUAUUGAUAUGGAAGAUACCUAUUAUGGAGCACUAACGGAUAUAAUAGAACUUAAUUACUUUGAUAGAUUUAACGUUGUAUUGUUUAGAUGUGAUUGGGUUAGCCUUAUUGAAGGCAAGGGCAUUAAGAAGGAUCAAUAUGGAUUUACCCUUGUGAAUUUCUCAAAUUUAAUUCAUACAUGCAAGGAUAUAAAAGAUGAACCUUUUGUGUUUGCAUCCCAAGCAAAACAAGUAUUUUAUGUACAAGAUCCUUAGUAUGAGAAUUGGAAAAUUGUAUUGAAUGCAAUACCAAGAGAUUUGUAUGAUAUGGGCAUGGUAUCAAAUAAGGAAGAAGGUUCAAUCUACUAUGAUCUUGUUUUCUUGUAAUUAAGAGAUUUCUUCGAUGAUCAAAUAGUUUUCUUAGCAGUGCAAAGGCCUCUUCUAAGAGAUCACUGCUUUCAGUGGCCACUAUGAAGAAAUAUUAGGUGUUUCUAUUGAUAGUGUGGUUUACUUCAUUAGUCGUCAUGGUGAAAACUAGAAGCAUGCGAAAUUAUGUAAUUGUGAUUGAAGAUACUCAAGAAGAACAACGCCAUGAGAAUGCUUCACAACAUCAACUUUAACAAGAUGCUAAUGAACAAAAUCCUACUAGGAAGCGUGGCGCUCGUGGUCGUAACAAGAUGGUUGAUGUAUGGAAUCUUCCUCUCAUAUAGCGAAUUAAAGUAUGCUUUAAUAGUAAAGGACUUGGAGGAACGUACCUCGAAUAUACAAGAUGGACACCUUGAACCAUAUAAAGGAAAAAUUUUUGUUCCCUGAACAUCACACUGGUUGGUUAUUCAAGUCACUAGGAAAGAAAUGGAAGGAUUGUAAGGCUGAACUAAAAACCAAGUACUUCCACUUUAAUAGCUAAAAGCUAAAAAUAGAAAAUUUAAACAAUUUCAUAAAAAUUAACAAGGCAUGAAAAAUAAUUUAAACACACUUAAGUAAGACAUUAAACAUGAAAACAUAAUAAUUGAAAUGUAGAAAAUUAAAAUAAAACAGAAAAUUAAACUUGCAAGUGAACUAGCCAGAAUUCCUACAUGACCUAUGUGACUAAUUACCACCUAAACAUGCAUUAAAUGUAAAUAAAAAUAAAAACUGUUUUACAUGGUUAAUCUAGACCUAAAAUGGAACCAAAAACCUAUUGGAACCUUAUGCAAAAACUGAACACAAGUGGAAAUAAAAAUUUAUGCAAACCGAAAUACUAGAAUGAGUGGAAACUAAGACCUAUGAAUUAAGAUGCUAGGAAAAUGGAACCCUAUCUAAGGAAAUUGUAAAAACUGUUUUACUAGCUUUAAAUAGACAUGAAAACAAGCCAAAAGGUAUAGGAAAGCUUUGCCUAAGACUGAUCAGAAAUGCUUUAGAAAAAUACACAAGUUGGAACACAAAACAUAAUCUAAACUAUGGAUCUAGCGAGUUAAAUGCAAUCAAAACUAAUCCUAGCUACAUGUAACGUGACAAACUGUUUUGUAACUCCAAAAUAGACUAAAAAAUGAACAAAAAAUAAUCAGGACACUCAGACCAAAAAUCACACACAAAGUGAAGAAAAACUACUUGAAAUAAUGCACGAAGAAUGGGAGGAAAAAUGUAUGAAACAACAAACCUAUAUCUAAGGCAUUUAAUCAACCAUGCAAAAAACACUUAAACUUGAUUUAAUAACAUAAUAGAAGCAUAAAAAAAUAUAUAAAUAGCAACAAAAAUUAAAAGGCAGAAUAAAAAAAUUGAGCAGAAAAAUUAGCAAGAAAUAUAAAGUGCAAGUAAAUAAAUACAAAGAUCAAGAUUGUGGAGCCCUAUGAUGUUUCCAUCAAAUUAACAUCCAAAGCCAUCCUUUCUAAGCUCUAAAGAACCCAAAUAUCAUGCAAAACUUGCUGCAAAAAUAAAAGAAAUUAAAUCUGGAAACUGAUAGAAACUAAAAAAGACAACUUGCUUAAACCAAAUAAAAGAGAGCUUGGAAUGUGUUUGCAACUUGAAGGAAACUUAAACAAGCUAAAAGAUAACUAAAAACAACAAUUAAAAGAGCUUGAAAAUGAGCUAAAAAGGAAAGAAAAUGAAGUCUUAAAGGAGGGCUUGGUCGGCCGGCAAUGUUGCUGCCACCAGCCCCCAAAGACGUCCUAAACUAAGCAAAGGAAAAAACAAAAUGAAGAGGAAAAAACUCUAAGGCUAGCCCUCUCUCCCUUUUUUAUUGUCAAAACUAAGACAUUUUACAACAUAUCCACCAGUCCAAAAUAAGCCAUCCCAGCCCUCCAUUCAAUCAUCAUAGCCAAGGUAAUUUCUGGGUUGUUUUGAAGGCCGCCAGGCUGACUACAUGAGCUGGAAUUUCCAGCUCAGCUCCAUCCCAUGUGAUGCUUGCUUGGUUGGUCCAAUGAGGGUUCUUCAUGCCUUCACCUAGGCCACAUGUUGGCAGCUUAGUCCUCUCUCAAAAUGUCAAGGAAAAUAGCUAAAAUAGAACCAUAAAAGUCAAAGUUAAGGUCAGCAAGUUUGCUGCCUUACUACUGACGUGAAACCGAAAAAUGAAAAAGAAAAUUCCUACAAGAAAUCAGAGGUUCGGUUCUCCUUUUUUGUCUCCUCAAAAUGUCUUAUUUUCCAGCCAAAUCCUUGGUCUUUUUCUUCCCAUAAAUGGUUUCUUGAACCAUGCAAAACAGCAGCCAUGCUUGACUUUCAUUUUUCAUUGUGUUCUCACUUGUUGCUUGACUUGUAAUUUGUUCCCUUUACUCUCUCCUUCUUUGCUGAUUCUUUUUGGUCAAAUUUGCUUUAUUUUUUGCGCUUUCUUUUUAUCCUCAUUUCUGCUCUAAACACCCCCAAGUAAGCUUGAUCAGCAGCUCCUCUCAAGCAAGCUAUCUUAUGCAAGAAAGGAAAGCUCUGCAUGCCUUUGUUGGUGGCUCACAGCAUGGGGCUUUAUGGUCAUGGCUUGGCAUUUUUUUCUUCUUCUUCAUGGCUUCAUUUUCUCAUGGAAAUCAGCUCUCCUCAUCUCCUAAGGGACCUUGAAUUCCCUUGGCAAAUUUUCGAUUGAUUCGGCCAUUGCUUGCAUGAUGACACUAGGUGCAAGCAUGGUGUUUCGAUUUUUCCUACAUAUGAAAUUUGGAGAACUUAGGUGGAUAAUCAAGCAAAAAAAUCAAGUUCAAAUCUAAUCAAUUAAGUACAUGAUAAUUCUAAAAAAAUAGAAUUACCAUUGGGUACAAAGAUUAUAAAUAUGGAAAUUAUUUAAAAAAAUAAGUAAGACUUGUAAGGACAGUUUUAAGUGUCAAUAUAGCUCGCUUAAUAAAUAUAAAAAAUUUAAAUAAAAUGUAACUUUUAUCAGCAUUUUGAAAUGCCUUUAAAAGAUUUUUACUUAUAAUGGUAGUUUAAAGUGUCGAAAAAAUCAUGCCAUCAAAUGCAUGUGUAAUUUUGGCAUUGGUGACUUAAUUGCCAAAAAGUUUUCACCGACACUCACCUAGUCGAUGGUCAACCGGUGGUCAAAAAACUGUCGGCAAUAGUAAUAGUGGCACUUUUUAAUCUUUUAUUGGCACUUAUAGGUGCCAGUAAAAAUGACUUUCUUGUUGUGAUUGUGCUUGUAACAUAACAAUUUAUGCUUAGCAAAACAUAUCUUGUAACUCAAAAAUACUUAUUCCACAUCGAAUUCUUUAUUAGAACAUUUAAGAUAAUGAUCCUAAGAAAACUUAAUUUAUAGACAUAUCAUCUCAAGAAAACUUUGAGAUUUGACACCUAGACGCCAAGUAGUUACAAUUAAGAUAAUGAUCAAAGAUUCGUUAAAGAUCCAUAAGUAAAACUUGAAAGAAAUCACUAAAAAUAGAAAAUUCAACCUCAAUUUAAUAUAAUCUACAAAGAUAAAAAUCACUCCCUAUAAUGAACUUGAGUUUUAGAUAACUAUCUUAUCAAACCUUAAACAAAAAUCAUUAACUUUCAACUCAUUGUUAUUCUUAAUCAAAUUCACCAAACUUUCUCCUCAUCACAAAUUUUAAAACUAAUGUCUAAAUACCAAUUGAAACUGUAAAUCAAAUAUCCAUAGAAUGACGAACUUGGCUCUAAUACCAUUAAUUUGUCAUGCCUCAAACCGAAGGAUUAAGGAUGUAACAAUAUCACAUACUUAUGGGACGAAUCUCAUAGGCAUGCAAAACAACAAAUAUCAUACUAAGUCAAAAUUAAUAUCUCCAAAAAAACUCCAAAAUUUACAUUUUGCAAAAUGCUAAGGGUCCAAGAUUAUAUCUAAUACAACUUGAUCACAAGAUAGAAAAUAUUCUAGCUAACAAUAAAUCUUAUAAAUCGAUAUCGAAAUACUUAUUCCAAAUAUUAUACCAAACAUAGGUAACGAAUAUUUGUGGUUGGUAUGAUGAAACUAGACUUAAACUUGAACCAUUCUGUUGAGUCUUCUGCAGGAUUUUGGUGUUUACACCUAGUAUGCUGUGGUUGAAAUCCUGAAAGAGAAUAAGGCUACAAGUUCAAGACAACCGUAAUCAAGUAAUAAUUUGCUUAAUUAUUGAUACCAAACUCCAGGUGCCUUUUUUAAGCCAUAAAUAGCUUUUUGUAGCUUGCAGUUGCAGACAUGAUGAGGUUUAUACCAGUCAAUGACACCUUAUGGUUCAGACAGUCUUUUGUUGGAUAAUUUACCUUGCUGAAAAGCAUUGUUAACAUCCAGUUGCGUACAGGCCAAUCAUAAUUGAAAGCAAUGUAAAGAACAAGUGUGAUAGUUUUUGGCUUAAUAUAUAACAGGCCUGAGGUAUCUAUGUAUUCAAGUCCAGAUCAUUGAUGGAAGACUUUGGCAACCAAUCUAGCCUUGUAUCUCUCAAUUGAGCAAUGGGACUUUAUUUAUUCAAAACGUGCAUUUGCGACCCACAACAUUCUAAUUUUUGGAAUAAGGAUCAAGUGUCCUGGUGUUUCUUUAUACUAGAACAUUGAACUCACUAUUCAUGGUCUGUCUCCAAUGUUGGUCACUGAUAGGCUGCCUGAAACAUUUGGUUCAGAAGGUAAGAGAAUAGGAUGUUUAGCAGUUGUGAAGGCCUUUUUAGGCUUGAAAAUAUUGUUCUCGUAUUGAGUCGAGUUGUCUUUGGAUGAGUUUCAAGUGAUGAGAGAGCUAGAGCUGUCAUAUGUAAGCUUCUAGAGGAAGGUGAAUCUUCACUUUUCUGCAAGAUGUUUUAGAAUUAUUACUAAUAAAGGAAUUAUAGAGUAUAGUACUAGCAGCAACUGCGUAAAUAGUCUUAAAGUAUUUUAUGAUUGUAUGGAAACUUGCUGGUGCUGCAGGCAGAGUGGAUGGUGGAGCACGAAAAUCAUUUGGUUAGAACUCCAGUGGAAGGCUAUUGGUUCAACGGAUAUAGAGAGAGAGAUCUUCAGCGCCUGACUAACCCAAAUAGUUGGUUCGGGGUUGGGGGCAGAUACCCAUAUAUUGCUGGGCACUCAACCCAUAAUUUAAUGGCAUGCAGCAGCAACAACCACAAAACUAAUGUUGAUCGGCUUUUAGGUCUUGUAGAAUCCUUGAUUUCAUAUUUGAUUAAUGAAUUUCAAAUGAAUCGAACCGUUAUCCAUGUGAUUUGUCGUCUUAAGCUUACAAAAAAGGAGGUUCCUUUUAUAGUAGCCAUUAAUCAUGAUUCGGUGGUUAAGAAACAAAUUAAGUGAACUACCCCACUAGAACAUAAUUGAUAUUAAUUUACAAUUCAAGCCAAUUUAUGUCAAGAAUAUCUACUUUGGAAAGUAUAAUAUAGCAGGCAAUAUUAGAAGAUUAAUUGUAAGUAACCAACUCGUGAUUAAACUAAUUAGUGAACUUGGAAGUUUAUGAAAUUAAAGGAAUUCAAUAAUAAUUUAACCGGGACUACAAGUCUCCGGUUGAAAGUAUAAAGACCAAUUUUCAAAUAAAAAAAAAAAGGCUAGAUUGAAAAUUU